rnacentral:lncRNA from 1 species
CUCUUAACAGUUUGGGCUGAAAGCCAUGCUAUUGCUGAAUAAGAGAUCGGAAAUGGAAAUUCAGAAUCUCUCCAUGCCCUGUUCCCUUCUGCCUUGCUUUCUCAUUUGGGGUGUUUACGUCAUUUUAAAUGAAUGGCCUUUUAGGCAUUUCUAACAGGAAAUAAUCUAGAGCAUUAGCUAUGAUUUAUCUCGUGGAAUUUCAGCCCUUGAUAGGAGCCAUUUAUUCCCAUGUUCUGCAUUAUUGGUUCCCUGACCGAGCAUAUGGAAAUCAGCCUUUACAUCCAUUUUUUAUUUCUCAUGAGGCUUCUUCUGGUUGGAAACUACCAAAUUUCAUCAGCCACUCCAGUGAUUUCCAGAAAAUGAAGAGUCUGAAUUGUUCUGGCUGUCUGAAGCCUAUAGCUAGAGCUCAGGUAAGUACCCUAUAAAAGAAGAGAGUCCUGUUCAAGAGAGUCUUAUAACCUGGUGAACAAUUUAUAAAGCGCUGAAGAGGAGCCCAGGACAGAAAUGUACAGAGAACCAACUUAUUGGCUAUUCUUGAGUGAGUCAUAUGCCAUGUCCCCUAUGGCUUUUCCAUUUUUAAAAAAAUGAGGGUGACAGUUUUUGCAAGAUAUUAUCAGGAGGUCUGUUUAGAUGUACAGUGUAGUGACUGAAGACACUGGCUUCGGAGUCAGAAAGACCUGGACUUGAAUCCUGGUUAUGUUACUUAUCAACUGUCACUUUGAACAGAAAACCUCUGUGUUACUUUUCUCAUUUGUAAAAAAUGUGAGUAACUAUUGCUCCUACUCGUAAGAUUAAAUAAGGUGCCUGGGACAUCGGAAUAGAUCAGUUACUAUUAGCUAUUAUUUGUAAAAUACUAUAAGCUUCUUAUAGAAAAGAAGCCCAUAUGAUUCAAUAUCUGAAUUAUUCACCUGGUGGGUACAGGUUUGGGAGGGUAUUUUCAAUUUUUUAAAAGUAGAUUUUAAAUAGGCUUUUUCUUUAAAUAAGCACCAUAUGCCAAAUUAUGGUUUAGUUGACUCAUACAUUUCUGAUUAUUCUUGAUAUGACUGUAGAAUGGCAACCAUCAGUAUUAGGAGUAUAUCACAUUUAUCUGCAUGAAAACAGUGCUUCCUCUCUCUUGAUAAUUUUACUCUGAAAUACUGGGGCUGAAUGAAGUGACCAGGAGAAUUAUUAAAUUAUCAAGUUCCAAAAUAUUCAAGCUUCACUAUUCUUUGAGAUUCUCAUCCACAUUCACUUUCUUCCACAAUGUAAGUUGCGAAUUAAUAACCUUAGCUUCUCAGGUAUAAGUUUGUGAAUGAGACCUAGAAAGAGGUUUUAUGAGUUUCAUUAGUAUAAGGAAAAUAAUGAUUGAAGCAUAGGGUUUUCCUUGGUUUAAACUAUUACAUGUAAAGGUUAAGAUACUUCAGAAGGUCUAGUCAGAUAGGACAC